rnacentral:rRNA from 1 species
GUUCGGUACCUAACUGCAGUGGGCGUUAGAGAUUUGAGAAGAGUUUCUCCUAGUACCAGAGGACCGGAGUGAACGAACCACUGGCGUUCCGGUUGUUUCUCCAGAAGCAUUGCCGGGUAGCUACGUUUGGACGGGAUAAACGCUGAAAGCAUCUAAGCGUGAAUCCUCCUUCAAGAUUAGAUCUCUCUGAUGAAAAUCAGUAAGGAACGUUGGAGACUACGACGUUGAU